AUACGUAGGGAGCGAGCGUUGUCCGGAAUUACUGGGUGUAAAGGGAGCGUAGGCGGGAUUGCAAGUCAGAUGUGAAAACUAUGGGCUUAACCCAUAGACUGCAUUUGAAACUGUAGUUCUUGAGUGAAGUAGAGGUAAGCGGAAUUCCUGGUGUAGCGGUGAAAUGCGUAGAUAUCAGGAGGAACAUCGGUGGCGAAGGCGGCUUACUGGGCUUUUACUGACGCUGAGGCUCGAAAGCGUGGGGAGC
rnacentral:rRNA from 1 species